AGCUGGCGGGAAACGCGCGGUGCGGCUGCGGCCGCCCCCUUUCGGUCCGGCGGAGACAGCGCCCCGCGAGGGGGCGUCCCCGCCGGCGCGGUUUCCCUGGUCCUCUGGUCCUCUGGCCCCCUGGGAGGGAGGGCGGGGAGGCGGCGACCUAAAGCCUGAGAAGCUCCUCUGCCUGCCGCGUCCGCCCCUGGCGUCUGCAAAGUCCAAACGACUCCUGCGGUUUUGACGGUGCGGGCGUUGCCUCCUCUACAAACCGAACGGCUGGUUCUCGGAGCAGGUGCGCGUGAAUGCAGAAGACUUAGUGUGCCCGGACACGAAACCCUGAAUGGAGGAGAUCUGACCUCUCCCCUUAGGGCUCCUUCUGGAGCCUCCCUCUUCUGUUCCUUGAAGGGAAAUUAUACUUGAAACUUUUAUCAAAUAAUAGCACUAACCGAUUUGGUCAUAAUUGGGCUUAGCUAAUCGCUGGCUCUCUUUGGCUCACAAAAAUAGGUAUACUAGAUUUUUCUGCCACUUAACAAUUAAUUGAAAUAUUGAAAUAGUUCUGUUUUUGGUUCAGUUAUUCUAAGUGUCAUCUGGCUGUAAAAACCCUGUUAGUAGAAUUUGCAGCAAAAAAACUGAAAGCCUGCAUUCUUAGUUUACUGGCUAUAACCCAAGUGAGACGCUGUAACUUCGGGCUUUAACUUACUGCUAUGGCUACCAGGGAAUGCUUGGGAAGUAUAUUUGUGAUUUUUUUUAUUUUUUUAUUUUUAUUUUUUUAGGAAUAAAUCUGGUACAGCUAUUCUUAGGUUUCCCUUUCCUUUCAAGUACUUGAGAAAAUGGUGGACAAAUUAACUACCUUGACUAUAGAAAAGAAUUUCAGUAUAGAAAAAGGCUAAAUGUAGCCCAGUAUGUAUGGGAAAAAAUUGUGGAUGUGACUAGAAUGAAGGAAACAGCUGGUUGAGAUAAUGUUAGAAAAAUGUAAUGAAAGCAUCACAAUUUUCAAAUUUAUGUUUGGUUCAGACAGUCUGUUAUAUUUUUCUCUUAAAUUAAUACUUAACUGCUCCUGUAGCCCCCACAUUUUCAUUAAGAGUGUAAUGUUCUAACAUAACGUAAGAUAUUGGAGAAAAAGUAAAAAUUAACAAUUUAUCCAAAAGAAGAAGAAAAUACAGUAUGCCAUCCUUAAUGCCUUAGAUCAAUUACUAGAUAUACGUAUCCUUUGAUGGCUUAUCAAGGGAUAUGCAUAUUGUAAAAUUGUAAGUACUUUUGGUGUUAAGUAAGUUGGCCUCUGGCAAAGUUAUACCCAAAUAGAUACUUCCUCCAGCAGUGUAAUGAAGAUCUUACUGUGAAAGAUGGACUUAAAUAUCUGUUUCAUUUUAAAAUUAAAAAAUAUUCUUAA